rnacentral:rRNA from 1 species
UACGUAGGGUGCAAGCGUUGUCCGGAAUUAUUGGGCGUAAAGAGCUUGUAGGCGGUUUUUCGCGUCUGCUGUGAAAUUUCGGGGCUCAACCCCGAACUUGCAGUGGGUACGGGCAGACUAGAGUGUGGUAGGGGAGACUGGAAUUCCUGGUGUAGCGGUGAAAUGCGCAGAUAUCAGGAGGAACACCGAUGGCGAAGGCAGGUCUCUGGGCCACUACUGACGCUGAGAAGCGAAAGCAUGGGGAGCGAACAGG